rnacentral:rRNA from 1 species
UACGUAGGGGGCGAGCGCUGUCCGGAUUUAUUGGGCGUAAAGAGCGUGUAGGCGGCCAGGUAGGUCUGCUGUGAAAACUCGAGGCUCAACCUCGAGACGUCGGCGGAAACCAUCUGGCUAGAGUCCGGAAGAGGAGAGUGGAAUUCCUGGUGUAGCGGUGAAAUGCGCAGAUAUCAGGAAGAACACCCGUGGCGAAGGCGGCUCUCUGGGACGGUACUGACGCUGAGACGCGAAAGCGUGGGGAGCGAACAGG